UACGUAGGCAGCAAGCGUUGUUCGGAGUUACUGGGCGUAAAGGGUGUGUAGGCGGUUCUUUAAGUUUGGUGUGAAAUCUCCCGGCUCAACCGGGAGGGUGCGCCGAAUACUGAGGGACUAGAGUGUGGGAGAGGAAAGUGGAAUUCCUGGUGUAGCGGUGAAAUGCGUAGAUAUCGGGAGGAACACCGGUGGCGAAGGCGGCGAUCUGGGUCGAUACUGACGCUGAGGUGCGAAA
rnacentral:rRNA from 1 species